rnacentral:rRNA from 1 species
CGGGACGGGUGAGUAACGCGUGGAUAACCUGCCUCACACUGGGGGAUAACAGUUAGAAAUGACUGCUAAUACCGCAUAAGCGCACAGUACCGCAUGGUACAGUGUGAAAAACUCCGGUGGUGUGAGAUGGAUCCGCGUCUGAUUAGCCAGUUGGCGGGGUAACGGCCCACCAAAGCGACGAUCGGUAGCCGACCUGAGAGGGUGACCGGCCACAUUGGGACUGAGACACGGCCCAA